rnacentral:lncRNA from 1 species
UAGCAAAUUCAAAGUAUGUGGAACAGCAUGUCUAAAAUAAAAUGCUACUCCAAUAAAACAAACCAAACUCAUAUCCAAGACUAUUAAUUAUCUAAUAUGGGAAUAGCAGAGUCUAGGAAGCAUAGUGGGACACAUACCUUUGAUGCUCAGAUUUAUCCCUUCCUUAUGUCUCAAGUCCCUCUCAACCACCUCUUCCUAAUAACAAAUCACCGUAUCUUUCGGUGCUUUCUCUCCUCUUUCCC